GCACACAUAGCUCUGUCGGUAGAGCACGAGACUCAUAAUCUCAGAGUCAUGGGUUUGAACCUCAUGUUGGGCA